AUGGUUCUCAAGAGGCAGCUGUCUCGGCGGUGAUGCUCAGACAUCAGCCGACGGGGGCAGGGGUGAGGAGGAAAGGUGGUGGUGGUGGCAUCCUUCAUCUCCUUGCUGACGUGCAGUAUUAAAAGAGCUCCUGGACCUCAUUGGAGAUGGCAGUUAAUGCAGAAACUCACAACUUGUCAGUCUUUUGUUUGCUCAGCCACAAAUGAGAUAUCUAUACUACACUCCUUCACCCUGAGGCCCAGGGACCAUCAUGGAAGAUGAGUCUGCAGAUUGUCAGAGGUCUGACAAGAGCCAGGUAGGACUAGAGGGAAAGAGCAUCUUCUGGACAUGGUAAGAUGACACUUACGAACUCACAGCAGCUGUGGGUUUCUGUAUGUAUGGGACCUGCAAGAUCAAGCUGUCUGUCAAAAUUCCAACAUGUAGCAGGGAGAAACUCACGAGCUUCCGCCCCAAAUGAGGAGCUAUUGACAGUUCAUGGCUUCCAGGGGAGGAAUAGUCUGCAUUUUUGAUGCUGAGAUCCCACGAUGAGUCAACUAUGCUCCAGCGGAUGGUCCCACACCAUGAGUAUUUAGGCAGAACAAACUAGUCUUGGCAGGUGGUUGUAAUAAUAAUAAUAAAUAAUAAUAACAACGAUACACAAAGUUUGGAAGAAGUAGAGAUUGAGGGAGGGUCUGGCAGGAAUUAGGGGAAGGGAUGGGAAUAAAUACCAAAAUACAUUGCAUGCAUGUUUGAAAUCUCUAAGAAUUGAUAAGAAUAUAUGAGAUAAUGGUCUGAAUAGAUAGUUUUCAAAGGGCCAACUAACGCAUGGAUAACUCUUGACAUUACUAGUCAUCAGGGAUAUGAAAGUCAAACACAGAGUAAGAUGCCAAGUAAAGCUGGAGAGGGUACAGGAAGUGGGGGGCUUUGAACACGGUUAGCAGGAACAUAGUUUAGUACACCUGUAUGGGAAAAUAUGAAAGCCCCGCAAAAAAUUGAAAGUAAAAUCCCUAUAUAAUCUAUGGAUCCCACUGGUCUCACAUAUCCAGAGGAAGUAAGAUCACUGAAUCACAGUGAUAACUGAAAGUCCACGGUUACUGUGACGCCAUCCACGCCAGCCAAGAUGUGCAAUCAACCAGGAACUGUACAGACAGAUGAAUGGACGUUUAAAAUGUAGCCUGUUAACUGGGUAAACGUAUAAUAUCCACUCUAAAGAGACUGAGGUAGGAAUACAAUGCCUUGGAGGACAGCCUGGGCUACACAGCAAUUUCAACUACAGACUGAGCUACAUGGUGAGACCUUGUCUCACAAUGAAGUCACAGGCUGAGAAUGAAGUUCAGAGGUAGAGUGUUUCCUAAUGAGACCUCGAGGUUGAUACACAAUAAAGUGGGAGGGAGUGGAUAAGAAGGGGUAAUUUCAGUAACUGCAUAAGUCUACAAAAUAGGGACCAAAUUUAGACACCUGGACCCUAUGAGCAAGAGACACUGAUGUACCUACGGUGUUUGACUUCCCAAUGGUCACAUAACACAGGUAUCUGCAUUUGGGCCAAGUCUUCCCUAUGCUCUGCUCUAUGAUUUAUGGUGAUGUUUCUUAUCCUAGGACAAAGGCCUGGAUUCCUUUAAAGCUAACAUUUGCUUGGAUCAUAAACCAUUUGGACAGGAGUAAAUGUGACCUGAUUCUCACUAUUCUACUCCUUGUAUUUUGUAGCUGCGAUAAAAUACACCGACUAAAAGAAACCUAGGAUGUAAAGUUUACUUGGAUCUAAGGGUCUAGAGGGUUAUAAUACACCAUGGCUAAGAAGGGAUAGUGAUAAGCAUUGGGGGGGGGGUGAAGAGGGCGGCUGAUGACAUUUUCUUCCACACAGGAAGCAGGGUGGGGAGAGGAGAGAGAGGGACAGGGAGAUAGCGAGAGACAGAGAUAGAGAGAGUCAGAGAGAUGGACAGAGAAAUAGAGACAAAGAGAGACAGAAGUGGAGAGAGACAGAGACAGACAAACACAGAGAGACAGACAGACACAUACAUGGACAGACACACAGAGAGAACAGGAAUGGAGCAAGGUUGUAAAGUGGAAAAGAUUGGAAAAACCCAUCCCUAGUAACACAUUUCCUCCUACAAAGCUGCACCUUCUCUUUAGACAGCAUCACCACUGAGGACCAACUACUCAAAAACAGGAGACUAUGGAGGACAUUUUUCAUCCAAACCACCACAGAGUGUAUGUUGCACAAUAGGGCUGCAGUCUAUCGCUAACUAUACCUGUCAGAAUACUUAGAGACGAGUUAGAACGCUGCACCACAUAGAGAUAUUUUUAAUGGGGAUGCUAAUCACUUUGAUAUAAUAAUUAUAUAUCAUACACAUGUAUCAACUUAAAAUCCUUCCCAUUAAACAUAAACAAAUAUUAUUUGUCAAUUAAUAACCAGUGAAAGUGUAAGAGUUUCAUUUUGAGAAGAGAUAACAGCAAGUUAACCUAUGUAGAGAGAAUAUCUUGUCUUUUAUAUGGAUGCAUCAACUGUGCCUAUAAACUGUGCCCACCUUCUAUAAAACCCUAUGGCCUAUAAGACAGGGUUUUAUGGAAGGUGGGACAUAAAGUAGGCAGAAAGAAUUCUGGGAUAGAACAAGGAACACGAAGAGUUUUGGAGAAGAUGUGAGGAGGCAGAUGCAUGGUAUCUGAGUAGAGAUAACCACCUGGAAAAAUAUAGAUUGAUAUAAAUGGGUUAUUAGCUAGUUAAGGAAUGAGCCUAGCUAUAUGGCCUAGCCUUUUGUAAAUAUAUUUUGAGUCUGAGUCAUUAUUCUGGAGGCUUGUGGCCAGGAAGAAAACAGCUCAUUACAAACCUGUACCUAGAUCAAUAAACGGAACUUACCAAAGUUCAGAAGCCCAGUGUCUUCCCAAUGACAGAAUAGUCACAUGUCUACAGAAGGAGGUGUUAAUUGGACAUCUUACAUUGCUGUGGGUAAGUUUUAGUUGUUUCUGACCUUUCAGGUAUGUAUUAUUCUGGGUGCGCUAUAUCUCUCAUUUGACUUUACACUUGUGAGAGUCAUCCAUGAUACAAGAGGAUGGGUGCACUCAUUUGCAUAUAUGCCUCAUGUCGCCUCAUGUCCUUAACCCAACUUUGUAUUUGGGGCUCCUUCCCAGAGUCUUGAGCAUUUUUCUACAGAAUGACUUCAAUUCCCACAUCAUAGUAUAAAGCAUAAUUAGACAUUUAGUGAGCCCUUUACCAGUCUCCUGGUCUUUGGAUUUCACGUUAUAAAUAAGAUUUGUCAUGAUACUUUAGAAAGAUUGAUAGGACAAUGGUAAAGUAAUACUAAUGUUUCAAAACAGCUACAGUCUUACUUGGAGUUCCACUCGGGCCAUUCAUCAUCCAGUGGAUCCAGAGCCUGUUCACGGGGUGCUGAGAACUACGGAAAAUGACGUAAGAAGUUCUUCACGAAGGAUGGGCAGUCAGAACCACGACACAAGUGCCUGAUGGCUCAGUGUACACUCCUUUCCAACGCCUCCACGCAAGUUCGAUACUGUUGGAGCUCCUCUGUUUCCACUCAAGUUGGAGCGGUGCUUUGUCUCAAGUCUUGGAACUAGGUAACAGGCCGGGAGGGAGGAGACACGAAACGUUGCUAACGGUCCUUAGCAAUUUCCUGGACCCAAAGCUUUCCUCAGUGAUGUGUGAAGCUAAGCUGUCCAUCCAGCUGUGCUACCCCGAUUCGCUAAAGAUGUGGAACUAAAACCCAGAAGCUAAUCCCUCUAUGGAUCAACCUUAAAAUGCAACAGAUUUUUCAGAGAUGAUCGGGGAAAUCUUUUUCUGAAAGGGGAGAUGCCUGGAUCAGAUUCUUAAAGGAAGGAAAACAAAGCAUACCUCGAAGGCUUAGCUGGGCAGAGAGGGUGCAUGCUGGGAAGAAAGCGAUGCUUUGUGGCAUUUCCUGGAUUCCUGACUCAUACUUUCCUCCUGAGGUCAGGAGCGUCCCUUUCUCCUCCAGCAGCUUGCUUCUGGCACUAAGAAAUCCAAGAUAAAUGAGACAGUCUGUGAACAGAGCCCCAAACAGCUGGCCAUUGCUGGACACAACUACAAUGGCUGGUCAAAUGGGGACAUCUGGUUCACGUCCCCAGAGAUUUAAUAAUGGCAGAAAGACCAAUAAAGAUAAUCCAAUCAACCACUGGGACCAAAGCUCCCAGGAGCACAAAGCUGGGCUGGGGAGGUUGGGUUUCUUUUCCAUGGGAGCCAAGGGAAGAGAGGGGCAGGUGAGCCAGCUGUGGGCUUGAGCCUCUCAUGCCUGCAUUGUUGGUCUCUUUGACCAUGAGGGAAAAUCUCAAGGAAAGCUGGGGGGGGGGGGGUUGUUCCUGGAAGAGUGUGGGAGAUUUUUCACAUUUAUAAUUUGGGGGCACACUCAUAUCCUGAUCCUCUAUAAACUCAGGGCCAUGGGAAUUGUUAACCCAUCAUUUGAUGGAUAUUUAUUCUACAUGACCCGGUGUAAAGACUCUUAGCUAGGGGUGGAUUUGGGACAGGAAAUGACUUCUCUGCUAGUGUUGGUGCUUGUAAGAAAGUGCUGCUCUCUCUGUAUAUUCACUUUUGCAAAUGGAACAUGAAGACAAUAGUUUGUAUCUCCUAGGACUGUUAGGGACAUGGUACAAAAUCAUGGGCGAGCUUAGCAGAAAUACGUGAUGUUCACAUGAUCAUCUGUGAUACUUAGAACCAAGAGUCUGCUCUGUUAUGACAGAUGGCACAGAGAACAGAAACUCACUGAAGGUUCUAAUAUCUUUUGUUUGGCCUCUGGUCUCUUAUUCUUAGAUUUAUUUAAUCUUUUUUUUUUUUUUUUUUUUUUUUUUAAGAUACAGGCUGGGUGUGGUGGCACACACCUUUAAUCCCAGCACUUGGGAGGCAGAGGCAGAGGCAGGUGAAUUUCUGAGUUCGAGGCCAGCCUGGUCUACAGAGUGAGUUCCAGGACAACCAAGUCUAUACAGAGAAACCCUGUUUCGAAAAACCAAAUAAAUAAAUAAAUAAACAACCAAAUACAAAAAAAUAAAAUAAAA